rnacentral:snoRNA from 1 species
AGCACUACGCGCUUUAUUAUUAGGGGAGAUAUCUGAUAUGUGGGCCAUGUGCCCACAACAAUAUUAAAUUUAUUUUUUGUGGGGGAGGGCCCGCCACAGUGGCUUGCUGCUGGGGCCCUCGGGUGUCGCCCAGUGCGUUGCACUAUUGCCUCGGCAGGCGCACCCCAA